rnacentral:rRNA from 1 species
ACUCCAUGAAGCUGGAUUCGCUAGUAAUCGCGCAUCAGCCAUGGCGCGGUGAAUACGUUCCCGGGCCUUGUACACACCGCCCGUCAAGCCAUGGGAGUCGGGAGUGCCUGAAGUUCGUGACCGUUUAGGAGCGACCUAGGGCAAGACUGAUGACUGAGGCUAAGUCGUAACAAGGUACC